GAUGAACGCUGGCGGCGUGCCUAAUACAUGCAAGUCGAGCGAACAGAUGAGGAGCUUGCUCCUCUGACGUUAGCGGCGGACGGGUGAGUAACACGUGGAUAACCUACCUAUAAGACUGGGAUAACUUCGGGAAACCGGAGCUAAUACCGGAUAACAUAUUGAACCGCAUGGUUCAAUAGUGAAAGACGGUUUUGCUGUCACUUAUAGAUGGAUCCGCGCCGCAUUAGCUAGUUGGUAAGGUAGCGGCUUACCAAGGCAACGAUGCGUAGCCGACCUGAGAGGGUGAUCGGCCACACUGGAACUGAGACACGGUCCAGACUCCUACGGGAGGCAGCAGUAGGGAAUCUUCCGCAAUGGGCGAAAGCCUGACGGAGCAACGCCGCGUGAGUGAUGAAGGUCUUCGGAUCGUAAAACUCUGUUAUUAGGGAAGAACAAAUGUGUAAGUAACUAUGCACGUCUUGACGGUACCUAAUCAGAAAGCCACGGCUAACUACGUG
rnacentral:rRNA from 1 species